rnacentral:rRNA from 1 species
AGUGAACGCUGGCGGUAGGCCUAACACAUGCAAGUCGAACGGCAGCACAGUAAGAGCUUGUUCUUACGGGUGGCGAGUGGCGGACGGGUGAGGAAUACAUCGGAAUCUACUUUUUCGUGGGGGAUAACGUAGGGAAACUUACGCUAAUACCGCAUACGACCUACGGGUGAAAGCAGGGGAUCUUCGGACCUUGCGCGAUUGAAUGAGCCGAUGUCGGAUUAGCUAGUUGGCAGGGUAAAGGCCCACCAAGGCGACGAUCCGUAGCUGGUCUGAGAGGAUGAUCAGCCACACUGGAACUGAGACACGGUCCAGACUCCUACGGGAGGCAGCAGUGGGGAAUAUUGGACAAUGGGCGCAAGCCUGAUCCAGCCAUACCGCGUGGGUGAAGAAGGCCUUCGGGUUGUAAAGCCCUUUUGUUGGGAAAGAAAAGCAGCAGGUUAAUACCCCGCUGUUCUGACGGUACCCAAAGAAUAAGCACCGGCUAACUUCGUG